rnacentral:rRNA from 1 species
GAUCCUGGCUCAGGAUGAACGCUAGCUACAGGCUUAACACAUGCAAGUCGAGGGGCAUCAGGGUGUAGCAAUACACCGCUGGCGACCGGCGCACGGGUGAGUAACACGUAUCCAACCUGCCCUUUACUCGGGGAUAGCCUUUCGAAAGAAAGAUUAAUACCCGAUGGUAUAACAUGACCUCCUGGUUUUGUUAUUAAAGAAUUUCGGUAGAGGAUGGGGAUGCGUUCCAUUAGGCAGUUGGCGGGGUAACGGCCCACC